UACGAAGGGGGCUAGCGUUGUUCGGAAUCAUUGGGCGUAAAGGGUGCGUAGGCGGCGCGGUAAGUCGGGUGUGAAAUCUCGGAGCUUAACUCCGAAACUGCAUUCGAUACUGCCGUGCUUGAGGACUGGAGAGGAGACUGGAAUUUACGGUGUAGCGGUGAAAUGCGUAGAUAUCGUAAGGAAGACCAGUGGCGAAGGCGGGUCUCUGGACAGUUCCUGACGCUGAGGCACGAAGGUCAGGGGAGCAAACGGG
rnacentral:rRNA from 1 species